UGGGGAAUAUUGCACAAUGGGCGAAAGCCUGAUGCAGCAACGCCGCGUGAGGGACGACGGCCUUCGGGUUGUAAACCUCUUUUAGCAGGAAAGAAGCGAAAGUGACGGUACCUGCAGAAAAAGCGCCGGCUAACUACGUGCC
rnacentral:rRNA from 1 species